rnacentral:tRNA from 1 species
UGAGGUAUGGUGUAAUGGUAGCACUACAGAUUUUGGUUCUGUCUGCCCAAGUUCGAAUCUUGGUACCUCAACCA